UAACCUCUGACGAGAAUCGUGAAAGUUA
rnacentral:ncRNA from 1 species